rnacentral:lncRNA from 7 species
UGUUCUCCUAGAAGAUAACUGAGAUGCAAAGUACUUACAGCAUUGGUACAGAUAGAAUGUGUCUGCAGAACUGUUCAACGUGCUGACGUGAGGAAGAUUGUCUCAAUGAGACUUUUUGACAAGAUUACUAAAACUUUCCUGAUCCAAUCGAUUGAGUGACCUCAUGGUUCAUAGUUUCAUCUUCUUACUUCUUGCUCCCCCCUUGGAUGGGGCGGCACAGAAUGUAAUGAUGCGUCUUUAAAAGUGUUUGAAAUCAAGAUGGAACGAGGUGGAAGUGAAGUACAAUGGAACAGGCCAAGUAAUUUUAUGGAAAUAAAUUGGUUCUUUGAAUUGAAUUCUCUUUCCCAUUGUUACACUCUGAACCUUUACUGCUGUAACCUGACUUUGUCAGCACCUAAUUCCAAAGUAGACCCCCAAAAAAUCAAGGAAGAGAAAAAUACAGAAAUAUGGCCAUCUGGAAUUAAAAAUAUUUUGAGUUCAGUACUUCAUUGGUAUUUUUAGUAUUUUAUUCUAUUGCAAAACACUCCUGGCUUUCUGAUAGAAUGAAAAACAGGUUAAAUAAUGUGAAAAGACUGGAGGGUGGAGUAGAACUGGUUCAAUUAUGUACACUAAUUGCAUGCUGUUUGAUUUUUUUUUUCUCCUUUAACUGUGUUUCUAAGAUGAACUCCUUCUAUAAAUCUACAACAGUAACUUCUGUUCCAAUAAAAUUUUGUUAAGCUUUUUGUCCUACUGGAGAUACAACCUUAGAAAACUAAACAACUGUGGUGGCAUCUCAGGAAACAGUUUCCCCUGCCUCGCGCUUUUUUUUUGUCUGAAGAUUGACGGAAGAGCAACAAGACUUCAAGAAUGUUGUUUAGGAAGCCUAUAGCUUUACAUAAUGUUUCAAGGAACUAUCUGACAGUAAUUCAUCCAGCACAGGUCAUCCAUUCUAUCGUAACCCACUUUGCAAAGGCCCCUGUCAGCUCUCUACCUCAUUAACCAGGCACAGCACCUUUGCAGAGACUUCACUGCUCUCUCCUCAUGCAAAACAGAGGGGCUUGACUCCUCGCUGUUCAAGGGAUUCAGAACUUUGGCCUGUUCUUCAGUAACUCCUUUUAGUAGAUGCUUUCCCUAUGCAAUUUCAAUUCUGGCUUUCUUAAUGGAUAAGAAGCUCUUUGAAGAAAUUCUCUACAAACAGGAAUCUGCUGAAUUGCGACUCUUCCUUUCUCCUCCUGAAAGAGGAAAGAAAAUAGGAUGUUUGUCACAUUCACUCACCAUGAAGGUGCUUCUCUUCUCAGGUCUGCAGAGACUGUGUGCUGAGGGUUCUGGAGAUAUGGAGCAAGGUUUAUAAGCUCUUUUGAAUUAUUUUAUUUUAUUUGGAGGUAGGAGUGUGGGAGCUAAGAAUGGGAAGGGAAAAAAAGGCUUAGUGUGUACUAGUUCAGGAUUUCUUCAUGCUCUUGUCUGUUAGAACAUGCAAAGAGAACACUAUUAGUGCUGGUACCUCAUAGUUCUAAUUUUGAAACUGCCAAAGACUGUCUCUGCUCAGCCAAAGCUUUUCCAUUUCUUGGGCUCCCAGGAUGGGCUGUAACUUUCUACAAGCCUUUGCAUACUACUUUGAAGACUGGAUACCUUUAAAAAUGUUGGGUUUUUUUUUUUUUCAGAGCAGUAGUUUUAAUAAAGUUUAAUAUUGGGGCAAUAUUGUUUAUCCACAUUAACAUCAAAUUACUUUCAUAUUAAUAAAUGAAUAUGAAACAU